CAUGAACCUUUUAUACCACAUUGUAGGAGUGUAGCUUUCAGACCAAACACCUUAUAAGCGCAGUUCCAGAUGAGAAAAAUUGUGUCGUAAUUUAGGUGCACUGAUUUUUAAUAUUGGAGUUGAGACCUGUCAUGAGCAGAGUUAAGACAUAAUCUAUUCCAUUAAAAAACAUAUUUCCUGUUUUGGUCAGUACAAUUUCAUUAUCACAGCCGAGGCCUGUCUUGAACAGAGUUAAGGCAUAAUCUAUUCCAUUAAUCAAAUGACCUUUUUUCCUAUUCUGCUCAAUACAAUUUGAUGACCACAGUUGCAUAUACUAGCAAUUUUGAUCAACACAAAAUUUCUGGAGAUUAGAGCAAUUAUGCAAGAAGAAAAGGAAUGGAAAUAUUAAUGAUUUGAAAAAUAAACAAAGCAGGAUCAAAAGAGACGUCACACUUACAUAGCGAUUGCUUCUGCAGCUAAUAUCUUCUGUCACAAUCAUCAUAGCACCAGAAUGCACUUGAUCAUAGUGCACUCCAUGUGAACUUGAGAUCCCCGGCAGUUGAUACAAAUGCUCAAAGAUUGCCCCUUUUGAUGAACCCAAACCGAAGUACAUAUCCCCAAUCCAUGCGGCUGCACAUAACAAGUGGAAUUUAGAAGGAAAUCGCUGGACCGCAUAGCCAUAGGCAGGCAGGGAAUGGCUGACUGAACAUUUUACUUGUCCGGUCAUCCCAGCGCAUUGCAUGCUACUGAGCUAUGCAGUUUACCCAGUAAAUUAACCAACCACACACAAUUGGGCAACAGAUCGGUGGAAGAACAGCUGCUGCAUAAACCAGGAACCACACAGCUGUUGCAUUGCCAUCAGUUACCAAAUGGUGGAGCAGAGUAGAGCUAGCAGCAAACAGUGUGGAUUCUGAAAUUCUCUAGCUACUUCACUGCAUCCACGGCUGCUAAUCUUGUUAACCGUUCCUACCAUAUGAAUUCGCUGGUCCUAACAACGCAAUGUAAUGCAUGGGUUGUUCAUGGCAGCAUGUAUGGUUGUCGUUUCUGAUUCCUGAGAGAGGAUGUGUGGCUGGUUUCGUACCUUUCUUGCGGACGCAGUGGUUGUGGUC
rnacentral:lncRNA from 1 species